AGAACCAAUUUUUUACUUAUUAUCUGGCAAAUCAACUGCAAUAUUUAGUGAAAUGGAUUCAUCAAAGCAAUAACAACAUCUCAUGGAUACAACUGGAACAAACAUACUGUAAAAAAAACUUACACUUGUAGAUUUUCCAUUUCUCAACAAUUCACUUAAACAAUUCUUCAAAACUGGAAGUCAAAGUGUCUGCUCAAUUUAAAUCAGUGGAGUAAUCUAAUAAUAGAAUACAUAUCCAUGGCAAAAAUCACAGCUCUCCAUAAAAGCUGUAAGCUGCAAUUCAAGGAAAACUGGAAACCAUUCCUAAACCAUUUCAAACUUAAAAUUAAUACAGAUGCCACAUACAUCCCUAUAUAUAUAUAUAUAUAUAUAUAUAUAUACACACACACACACAAAGUAUAUAUGUAAUGUGUGUGUAUUAUAUAUACAUACAUACACAUUAUAUUAUAUUUAUUUAUUUAUUUAUUUAUACACAUACAAAAAAAAAAACAGCCCAUACGCACACAAACCAACGUGCACCUCGCAUGACUGCCACCUAGGUGCUGAACAGACAGCUUCACUCCUCACAUGUUGUGGACAGCUUGAGAGCACAUGGCUGAAACACGGGGAGGCAGAAGUACUUCAGAGGGUGAGCCCGGUAAACUACCGUCUAAAACAGCCCGGUAAGCAUGCAGACACCCAGCUAUAUCACAUAAAUCUAUUGAAAAAAUGGGUUGAGCCCACGCCAGUGGUGUCUGCCUUUGCCACUCUCCCCACAGAUCUCCAUUAGCGUACCUUGGUCCACCAUCAUGAGGAACUCACCCCCAUGCAACACCAAGAGCUGACAGAGCUGGUGGACCAGUUUGCCGACAUCUUCACGUGCACCCCAGGUUCGACGCCUCUGGUCCACCAUGAGAUAAAAACCCCACCGGGAGUAGUGGUAAGACAGCGGCACUACUGUGUCAGGCAACUGAGGAGGAUAUCAGCCAGAUGUUCUGAGAUGGAAUCAUCGAGGAGUCCGCCAGCCCCUGGUCCAGCCACAUCGUUGUGGUGCCGAAGUCCAAAGGCAGUAUCAGGCUCUGAACCAGGUCUCCGAUUUCAACAGCUACCCCCUCCCCUGAGUGGAUGACCUGGUGGAGCAGCUGGGGAGAGCCUACUUCAUCUCCACUCUCGACCUGACCAAGGACUAAUGGCAAGUUCCUUCAGCACCACCAGUGGCCACUGGCAGUACUGGGUUCUCCCCUUUGGCCUCCACAGAGCACCAGCAACAUUCCAGCACCUGAUGGACAUUGUCCUGAGACCACACAGGCCAUUUACCACCACCCAUCUGCUCCUCCACCUGGUCGGACCACCUCUCCCAUCCAAGUCCUGGGAAGCCUCCGAAGAUCCGGGCUGAUGGCCAACCCGAAGAAGUGCCAUCUGGGGUUGACCGAGGCACAGUACCUGGGAUAUCACAUUGUCCGGGCAUACUCAAACCCCAAGAGAAGAAGAUAG
ensembl:lncRNA